rnacentral:rRNA from 1 species
AUUGAACGCUGGCGGCAUGCCUUACACAUGCAAGUCGAACGGCAGCACGGGUGCUUGCACCUGGUGGCGAGUGGCGAACGGGUGAGUAAUACAUCGGAACAUGUCCUGUAGUGGGGGAUAGCCCGGCGAAAGCCGGAUUAAUACCGCAUACGAUCCACGGAUGAAAGCGGGGGACCUUCGGGCCUCGCGCUAUAGGGUUGGCCGAUGGCUGAUUAGCUAGUUGAGGGGGUAAAGGCCUACCAAGGCGACGAUCAGUAGCUGGUCUGAGAGGACGACCAGCCACACUGGGACUGAGACACGGCCCAGACUCCUACGGGAGGCAGCAGUGGGGAAUUUUGGACAAUGGGCGAAAGCCUGAUCCAGCAAUGCCGCGUGUGUGAAGAAGGCCUUCGGGUUGUAAAGCACUUUUGUCCGGAAAGAAAUCCUUGGCUCUAAUACAGUCGGGGGAUGACGGUACCGGAAGAAUAAGCACCGGCUAACUACAUG